rnacentral:rRNA from 1 species
GACGAACGCUGGCGGCGUGCUUAACACAUGCAAGUCGAACGGAAAGGCCCUGCUUUUGUGGGUUGCUCGAGUGGCGAACGGGUGUGUAACACGCGAGUAACCUGCCCUUGACUUUGGGAUAUCUUCAGGAAACUGGGGCUAAUACCGCAUAUGAGCUCCUGCUGCAUGGUGGGGGUUGGAAAGUUUCGGCGGUUGGGGAUGGACUCGCUGCUUAUCAGCUUGUUGGUGUGGUAGUGGCUUACCAAGGGUUUGACGGGUAGCCGGCCUGAGAGGGGGAACGGCGACAUGGGGACUGAGAUACGGACCAGAAUGGUACGGGAGGCAGCAGUGGGGAAUAUUGCACAAUAGGCGGAAGCCUGAGGCAGCAACGCCGCGAGCGGGAUGACGGGCUUCGGGUUGUAAACCGCUGUCGACUGUGACGAAGAGUGAGUGACGGUAAUGGGUAAAGAAGCAACGGCUAACUACGUG